rnacentral:rRNA from 1 species
UGGGGAAUAUUGCACAAUGGGCGCAAGCCUGAUGCAGCCAUGCCGCGUGUAUGAAGAAGGCCUUCGGGUUGUAAAGUACUUUCAGUCGGGAGGAAGGUGGUAAGGUUAAUAACCUUAUCAAUUGACGUUACCGACAGAAGAAGCACCGGCUAACUCCGUGCCAGCAGCCGCGGUAAUACGGAGGGUGCAAGCGUUAAUCGGAAUUACUGGGCGUAAAGCGCACGCAGGCGGUUGAUUGAGUCAGAUGUGAAAUCCCCGGGCUUAACCCGGGAAUUGCAUCUGAUACUGGUCAGCUAGAGUCUUGUAGAGGGGGGUAGAAUUCCAUGUGUAGCGGUGAAAUGCGUAGAGAUGUGGAGGAACACCGGUGGCGAAGGCGGCCCCCUGGACAAAGACUGACGCUCAGGUGCGAAAGCGUGGGGAGCAAACAGG